rnacentral:rRNA from 1 species
AUAACGGUCCUAAGGUAGCGAAAUUCCUUGUCGGGUAAGUUCCGACCUGCACGAAUGGUGUAACCAUGGCCACGCUGUCUCCACCCGAGACUCAGUGAAAUUGAAAUCGCAGUGAAGAUGCUGUGUACCCGCACCUAGACGGAAAGACCCCGUGAACCUUUACUACAGCUUGGCACUGAACAUUGAACCUACAUGUGUAGGAUAGGUGGGAGGCUUCGAAGCACAGUCGCUAGAUUGUGUGGAGCCGUCCUUGAAAUACCACCCUUGUAUGUUUGAUGUUCUAACAUUGGUCCCUUAUCGGGAUUAUGGACAGUGUCUGGUGGGUAGUUUGACUGGGGCGGUCUCCUCCCAAAGCGUAACGGAGGAGCACAAAGGUGGGCUAAGCAUGGUCGGACAUCAUGCGGUUAGUGUAAUGGCACAAGCCCGCUUAACUGCGAGACAGACACGUCGAGCAGGUACGAAAGUAGGUCAUAGUGAUCCGGUGGUUCUGUAUGGAAGGGCCAUCGCUCAACGGAUAAAAGGUACUCCGGGGAUAACAGGCUGAUACCGCCCAAGAGUUCACAUCGACGGCGGUGUUUGGCACCUCGAUGUCGGCUCAUCGCAUCCUGGAGCGGAAGUACGUUCCAAGGGUUGGGCUGUUCGCCCAUAGAAAGCGGUACGUGAGCUGGGUUCAGAACGUCGUGAGACAGUUUGGUCCAUAUCCCGUGUAGGCGUUUAGAGCAUUGAAAGGAUCCCCCCUUUGUACGAGAGGACCAGGUGGGGACAGACCGCUAGUGUACCAGUUAUCCCGCCAGGGGUACACGCUGGGUAGCUAUGUCUGGAGCAAAUAACUGCUGAAAGCAUAUAAGUAGGAAAUUCACCUUAAGAUGAGUGCUCUUUUGUCACAUCCUUACAUCCCUUCCCCGAAGCGAUGCUAGAUGACAGACAAGGAAGGUCACGGCAAGACGAGCCGUUUGAUAGGCAUGAUGUAGAA